rnacentral:rRNA from 1 species
CAAGUCGAACGCGAAAGUUCCCUUCGGGGAGCAAGUAGAGUGGCGCACGGGUGAGUAACACGUAGGUAAUCUACCUUUGGAUUGGGAAUAACAACCGGAAACGGUUGCUAAUACCGAAUAAUGCAGCGGCACCUAAUGGUGACAGUUGUUAAAGCGGGGGAUCGCAAGACCUCGCGUCUGAAGAGGAGCCUGCGGCAGAUUAGCUAGUUGGUAGGGUAACGGCUUACCAAGGCUAUGAUCUGUAGCCGGCCUGAGAGGGCGGUCGGCCACACUGACACUGACAUACGGGUCAGACUCCUACGGGAGGCAGCAGUCGGGAAUUUUGGGCAAUGGGCGAAAGCCUGACCCAGCAACGCCGCGUGAAGGAUGAAAUCCUUCGGGAUGUAAACUUCGCAAGAACGGGAAGAAUAAGCCGGUGCAAAUAUCACCGGCGAUGACGGUACUGUUUGUAAGCUCCGGCUAACUCCGUGCCAGCAGCCGCGGUAAUACGGGGGGAGCAAGCGUUGUUCGGAUUUACUGGGCGUAAAGGGCGCGUAGGCGGCCACCGCAAGUCAGUUGUGAAAUCUCUGGGCUUAACCCAGAAAGGUCAACUGAUACUGCGGGGCUAGAGUGCAGAAGGGGCAACUGGAAUUCUCGGUGUAGCGGUGAAAUGCGUAGAUAUCGAGAGGAACACCUGCGGCGAAGGCGGGUUGCUGGGCUGACACUGACGCUGAGGCGCGAAAGCUAGGGGAGCGAACGGGAUUAGAUACCCCGGUAGUCCUAGCCUUAAACGAUGAAUGCUUGGUGUCUGGGGUUUUAUAGUCCCC